AUCAGCAAAAUGGCAAAGUAGGUGGCUC
rnacentral:piRNA from 1 species